AAAAAAAUCAAGCUUAAUGUUUGAGUGCUCCUUGCUUUGUUUCCUCCUGUUCUUUUUCCUCUCUCCAGCCUUGAUGUCUGAUGUUUCCCUCCAAGCACUGGGCUGAGGAUCCCCUACAAGCAGAUCUUCACAGUGAUUGCUUUUUUCCCUGAUUGCUAAUGCUGUUUCCAGGGGCUGAUCUAAGCUGGGUACCCUUCUCAUCAAUGCCCACAUCUGGGUGUUAUCAAGCACUUCUCAGAUGCCAGUGUGUAUGCCAGCUUCUCUGCAUCUCACUUCCAGCUCCUCUUUUCCAGGUACACGAAGGAAGUGGCAAUGUUAGACUAGCGGCUGCAGAGCUCGACUGGUGACUACUGUGGAUGCAGAGCCUCCAACUGAUACAAAUUCUUCCUUAGAUGCUAAGGAGCAGCAGAUCAGGACCAUCACUGCUACAGAUGACAGCAUCACUCUGGAUCUGCACCAUGUGUAGGAGAUGCUUAUGAAGCCUAGGAGAACCUACCUCUAUUAUUCAGUCUUUCCUUGCAGAAAUGCUCUGUCUUGUUCCAUCCUCUUGCCAACUGCUCACAAUUGAUAUCUCAUAUGCAGAUAAUGAUUGUACCAGCAAGUGUGAUGUGGUGCCCAUUGUUACUAGGGAACAUAAGGUGUAGGGUACAGCUUGUGAGCAUUUCUUCCUUCUGGGAGAAGAGGAAAAACCAUAAGAACUGUUGUUUGGUCUUUUCUAAUCUCUAUCACCUCCUUCUGGAUUACCAUAUUCUUAGUUUUUAUAUUUUCUUCUGUGGAGGGAAUUGAAUGAAAGGUGAUUGUGUAGAUGUAUUGAGCUUUGUAGUAAUACACUGUAUCUAUCUCCACUGAUUUUCUUCAAUAGCUAUCUGUCUGAUCCUGUUAUUUCUAAAGAAAGUUAUCUGUAUUUCUCUUGCCAAAUCUACUAGAAGCACACAGCUCAAGCUGAUCAGAACAUGUCUGUUUUCU